CUUUUUCGCUCCAUGAUGGGCCGAGGAGAACAUGCAACAAAUGAAGAUAUCCUGUAAGAUACUUUUCAUUUGCGCUCCUAGAGGUCUACCCUGACCGGGAUGAAACGGAAUUAUGGUGUAACAACUUACCACGGACUUCUGCACCACGACACACGAAUUGGAAAUAAAAGGUUUUCGGUAAAAUAUUUUACCCUUGUACUGAUGUCUACGGUCAAUUUCUACCUUCCCACACAGAUCAAUGAUUUCCUCAGCCCAUCAGGGAAAGAAAAAAGAUUUGCAAACAUACAACUUUAAAAGAAUUUGCGAAGCUUUCAUUCUAUACCCUGUACCUCACACGACAAGAAUGAUCGAGGCCGCGCAAAAUAGCCUGCCUCUUGAGGGACCUGGUACAAGGUUAGCCAAUCCCAGCGUUCAUUCCGACCUCAGUAUUAGCGAAGGCAAGUGGCAUUUUUACAUUUAUCAUGGACGAGCCUGCUACACAUGAGCAUGAGAUUUGCAAAACUAGAUGGAACCGGGCAAUAGUAGACUACUAAACAAGGAAGAGGAACUAGUCACAAAUUUUAUUUUUGAGGCUGCAGUGAAAUGACUACAUAAAACAGAAAGUAUCCAUGACAAUGACAAACAUGAUUCUACUUCACAUUCUUACAUUUUUCUACUGGUUUAAGACUGACUAGCUAUGAAGCUU